UAGGGAAUAUUGGACAAUGGGGGCAACCCUGAUCCAGCCAUGCCGCGUGAGUGAAGAAGGCCCUCGGGUUGUAAAGCUCUUUUGUCCGGAAAGAAAAGCAUUCGGUGAAUACCCGGAUGUUCUGACGGUACCGGAAGAAUAAGCACCGGCUAACUUCGUGCCAGCAGCCGCGGUAAUACGAAGGGUGCAAGCGUUACUCGGAAUUACUGGGCGUAAAGCGUGCGUAGGUGGUUGUGUAAGUCUGAUGUGAAAGCCCUGGGCUCAACCAGGGAAUGGCAUUGGAAACUGGGCAGCUAGAGUGCGGUAGGGGUUAGUGGCAUUCACGGUGUAGCAGUGAAAUGCGUAGAGUUCGGGAGGAACAUCUGUGGCGAAGGCGACUGCCUGGACCAGCACUGACACUGAGGCACGAAAGCGUGGGGAG
rnacentral:rRNA from 1 species